GACGAACGCUGGCGGCGUGCCUAACACAUGCAAGUCGAACGGAAAGGCCCUGCGUUUGUGCGGUUCUCGAGUGGCGAAGGGGUGAGUAACACAUGAGUAACCUGCCCUUGUCUGAGGGAUAACAUCAGGAAACUGGGGCUCAUAUCGGAUAGGAGCUCCUGCUGCAUGGUGGGGGAUGGAAAGAUUCGGCGGUUGGGGAUGGAAUCGCGGCUUAUCCGUUAGUUGGUGGGGUAGGGGCUUACGAAGGCUUUGACGGAUAGCCCGCCUGGGAGGGUGACCAGCCACAUGAGGCCUGAGGUACGGCCCAGUCUCCUACGGGCGGCAGCAGUGGGAAGUAUUACACAGUGGGCGGGAGCGAGAUGCGGCAACGCCGCGUGCGGGAUGCCGGCCUUCGGGUGAUAAACCGAUUUCGCCUGUGACGAAGCGUGCGUGACGGUAAUGGGUCAAGAAGCACCGGCUAACUACGUG
rnacentral:rRNA from 1 species